UCCAUGAAGCCGGAAUUGCUAGUAAUGGCAGGUCAGCAUACUGCCGUGAAUACGUUCCCGGGCCUUGUACACACCGCCCGCCACACCAUGAGAGUUGGGAAUACCCGAAGCCUGUGAGCUAACGUAAGAGGCAGCAGUCGAAGGUAGAAUCAAUGAUUGGGGUGAAGUCGUAACAAGGUACC
rnacentral:rRNA from 1 species